GAUGGAAACUUACUGAUAAUACUGGAUAAGUUAGUAUAUCGCAUGAUAUACAAAUGAAAGCUACGGCACUAAAGGAGGGCUUUGCGUCCUAUUAGCUAGUUGGUAAGGUAAGAGCUUACCAAGGCGAUGAUAGGUAGCCGGCCUGAGAGGGUGGACGGCCACAAGGGGACUGAGAUACGGCCCUUACUCCUACGGGAGGCAGCAGCC
rnacentral:rRNA from 1 species